rnacentral:lncRNA from 1 species
CCAUGACCCUGCCAAAUCCCCCUCUGUGAGAAACACCCAAGAAUUAUCAAUAAAAAAAUAAAUUAAAAAAAAAAAUAAAUAAAUAAAUCCAGCAAAAAUAAAAAUAAAAAAUAAAAUCCCCUUGAAUACAUUUGAGGUAAUGUUGUAGUUUUCAGCUCCUCCCACGAGAGAUUUUAUGGAGUGCCUAACUGUGCUACCCGGGUGCUGCUCCUGUCGUUAGUGGUGGCACCCAGGAGGAAUUAAAAUUACAAGAGUGUUUCCUUCCAGAUGUUGUUGCUACAGGCUCAAGGUGCUCUUUUAACUGGGACAUCAGGCUUUCUUGAAAUAGACAAGAAUUCUAGAAACAUGACAUUGUGCCUGAUUCAUCGCUUCAACUUGCCACUGACUCAUUCUCUCCUUGAUAGGUUAUUCAACAGUAACUUUAAUUACAUCAUUUACUUAUUGUUUUCUUCCUUGAUUUAUUCUCUUUCUACAAUUCUUGUUUAUCAUCUCAGUGAUUGGACCAUCUCACCUCUGAGACUUGGGUAGAAUUCUGUGGACUCUGGAAAUAGACAUGGAGGUUUUCAUGUAUCUCUGUUAAUGUGUACAAACACCCCCAGGCUUGUACACUUGAAAUACAUCAGUAGGAAGGGUAGUUCUCAAUUUGCUAGUGUUUCACACAGCUUGUCUUAUUUAAUGAUCUCAGCUGCCCUAUGAAGUAGAUACCAUCCUAUUAAAAAAUGCAGGAGCAGAGGCUCUGAGAGGGGACUGUAACUUACCCAAGAUCAUGUGGUAGAUUGCAAAACUGGUUCCAAAUCCCUACCCUUCCCUGUACGCACACCUUUUGCCAUUCAUCUGCAAUGUCCUUUUCUGAUUCUGGGCUCAGCAAUAUAACUUGCUCUGGCCAACAGGAUAACAACAGCAAAUGUGAUGUAAGCAAAAGCUUGAGAAAUACUUGUGCAACUAAUCAUGUUUGCCUUCUCUCUUGUACCUGUGCCAUUGCCAUGAGAACAUGCCUGGGCUAGGAUUAGAGACACUUGGAGCAGAGCUGAGUCAUCCCAGCUGUCCCAGUUGAGGCCAGCCUAGGUCAGUCGAUGGCAACCAAGCCCUAAGCAUGUUAGUGAGCCCAGCCAUGAUCAGCACAACCACCUAGCCAACCAUCCCAGACCUGUGAUCAAUAAAGCCUUACUAUUCCAUACCACCUAGGUUUUGUGAUUAUUUAUUUCACAGAAUUAUUAUGGCAGUAUGUAACUGAUAGAAGCGGUGUACAGGGAAGAGUAUUUGUUAGUCCGUUUUCACACUGCUGAUAAAGACAUAUGCGAGACUGAGCAAUUUACAAAAGAAAGAGGUUUAAUGGACUUACAGUUCCACGUGGCUGGGGAAGCCUCACAAUUGUGGUGAAAGGUGAAAGUCACAUCUCACAUGGCAGCAGACAAGAGAAGAAGAGCUUGUGCAGGGAAACUCCCCUUUUAAAAACCAUCAGAUCUCAUGAUACUUAUUCACUAUCAUCAGAAUAGCCUGGGAAAGACCUGUCCCCAUGAUUCAGUUACUUCCCACCGUGUCACUCCCACAACAAGUGGGAAUUCAAGAUGAGAUUUGGGUAGGGACACAGCAAAACCAUAUUAGAGCAGAUCUCUGGAAUUGGGCAGGCCAAGGUUUGAAUCCCAUCUGUUAUUUGGAGUGUGUGUUUCUUUUUGAGACUAAUCUCCUUACCCUUGAAAUGAGGUAAUAUACUUCCCUCAUAGGGUUGCUGGGAAGAUUAAACACGAGGUGAAGUAAAUAAAGCCCCAGGGACAUAAGCAAAAAAUAAUGGCUUCUCACAGCAAUGCUCCAGAACAUACAACAAGGGAAUACUGGGCCCAGUCCCAGGACUAUCCAAGUGUGAAGCCAACACCUUUUCACAUCAACUCCAAGGUAAGGAUUAAGAACAGAAUGGCCUGGUUCUAAUCUUACCAUGAAAUGCUGCUCCCCUGAAUCUUCCAUUGCAGUAUAGAGAGCAGGACAGGCCUUUAAAAAAUUAAUGUUGCUUAAAUUUAGGAGCCUGAAAAAAAAGCCAAAUCCAAGAUUUUCCUUUGGACUUGUGGUUUUGCCAGAUAGGUGGCAGUGAUUUCGGGAAGGAGGGUUGCUUUUGUCCUGGGUAUGGGUGUGUUUCAAAGUCCUCCGGGCACAGUUGGGAGCAGGGGCCAGCCUGGCUGCGUUUGCCCUGACUCUGUUGGUUGCCCCUCUGCAUGCACAUGCAUUUUUGAUGACAGAUCAUUCAGGAAAUGUGAAUGUUUCCCUGGGAGGCUUUGCUUUUUUCACCUGGCCUUCUUUUCUGGGCCUCCUGUGGGGCUGCCCUUUCCCUUCCUUUGAAGCCAUUGUCUUCUUGACAUGAAAAAUGUACUCAGGUACGCUUAUGGCUAAUUAUCUCAAGGGGGAAGAAAAAACAAAAUGAACUCAAGGCUGAAAUAUAGAACCAUUAACUCUGUAAACUCUGAAAAGUCAUAAGACACUUUUUUAAAAUUAAAAAAAUACAUAUACAUUUGAAAUAGUUUCUUCUUAAACAGAUAAACAGAAUUAACUUGGGAUGUUUCCUACACAAUUUAGCUUCCUUCUCUCUCCCUCCACUCCCACCCCAGAUAGCUCACUUCCCUUUAUCAUCUCUGAUGCUGAUGAUGGGUGACAACAGUUAGCUGCACUGUACUCUGCCUCUAACUUAUUUUAUGACCUUGGAUAAGUUACAUGGCAUUUCUGAGCUUCUGCUUCUCAUAAGUAAGAUGACAUUGCUAUUACAUUUCUUUAAAACUUUUUUUAGUACUGUAAAACAAUAAUUUAUUACCUCUUGCAGUUCCAUGGGCUGACUGGACUCCACUGGGAGUUCUUGAUGUCUCUCGUGUGGUUGUGUGAGAUAGUGGCUGGGACUGGACUCAUCUGAAGGCUUGACUGGGCUGGAUGCCCAAGAUAGCCCACUUUUAGACAGAGGUGGCUGGCAGUUGAUGCUGACUGUCAGCUGGGGACUCAGCUGAGAGUGUUAACUGGAGUCCCUAGACGUGGCUUCUCCACAUGGCUUGGGCUUCUCAUGGAAGGGCACCUGGAUUCUGAGAGAGAGCAUCCCAAGAGACACAAGUGGAAAUGAUAAGGCUUCUUAUGACGUAGACUGGAGGUACUGAGACAUCACUUUUGCUACAUUAGAAGGUUAGAUGCUGACAUUUUAUGAUUUCACAACUUGGAUCCUCUGUCCUCUGAUACUGAAUCAGAUAGUAGUUUAUGGAGCUGAGCAGAGAGCCAGCUGGUCCUGGGCACAGAGGAGGCUGUGUUCCAUGCUGAAGACAAGAACAUAUGGUGGACGUACCAUCCUAACUAUCUGGGAAGGGAGCUUCGUGGCUACAUGGGAGUUAUCAUCUGCCAGUGCCGGCUGCAUCCUGGCUGUGCCCACCUCUGGACUCUGAAUCUCUGCACCUCAGUACCCCCAACCCCAACACGACUGUGAUGUUAGGCAUAUAUUAGGCAUGUGAAGAUGAGAAAGAGAAGAUACAGCUCCCAUGUUUAUCUCCAUGAGAAGAUAAGCCACAGGGAGAGAGAAAGACUGUUGUGCACGAGAGGGAGUGUCAAAUGCCAAAUGGAUGUCAGCAGUCGGGGUGUGCUAGAGGCACUCAGGGGAAGGGAGGCUGGGCAUAGAGGGUCAUGCUGGAGGAGGUGACUCUGGAUCUGAAUCUUGAAAGGUCCUGUUGUGCCCAACUCAUGAUUUAUCCAGGUCACACCAGUCUGGUCUGUCACAGUAAGAGGGCACCAUCACAUACACUAUAAUAUGAAUCAUGACCCCCGGAGUUGUGUGGAGUUUCUGCAUCUCUCCCUCCCCACUGUGGCUACCCUCAUCCAGCAACCAUCCUGUCUCUCACCGGUAUUACCGCAGCUGAGACCCAGGUCUUAAGGAAGCUGAGACCCAGGCCAGCAGGGGCCUCACAGCUUGGAAAAAGAGGAGGGUGUAAGACUCUGGAUGAAGCUGAGAGAUCCUUCCAUGCUUGGCUGAGAGACUACACAGACAUGAGCUUCAGGAGACUCCAAAGCCUCGGAUCCCCUUCUAAACUAGCACUGAAUUCUGAUUGGCUGUCUUUGCCUGCCUCAGUUUGUUCCUUUUACUGAUUGGCUAGGUUCUUCUGCCCAUGGCAGAGCCCUGCUCCAGCCACCGGAUCCUCCCACCUGCCACAGUGUCACCUGGGAUUGGCUGGGCUCUGAAAGGCCAGGCUGGCUUGACUCUUGCCAUCAUCAGAUUCUUCCUCAUUAAACAAAUGAAUCACAAUCCUAAUUAAUUUGAGCAACAGAAUUUAUGUAACUACUCCCAGCAGGAUGUCUGCUCUCAGUCAGCAGAGAGAUUACUUCCUCUCUCUGGGAAAUUCCAGCCUUGCUGGUCAAUAAGCCUUAAUGAUGACUGAAAUCUCCCAUCUGUCUCUGCUCAGGGCAGGUAACCCCUACUAAGCAGACACCCAGUUGGCUCGAGGCAGUACCCCGGGCACCGGCAGGACAAGGACAACGAUCUCCCAGCCUAGAUGUGUCCUGAGCCACAUGGAGCACACAGAUUACAGGAUCUGACUCCCAUUUGGGCCUUCCACCUCCGCUGGCCUAAGCAGUCAAGUGUCAGAGAGCACUGGACCUAACAGCUCCCUCACCAGAGCAGCUGUGAUUCCUUCUUCAUUUCCAGCAGGGAAGACCCAACAACUUUUAUAAUAUGGGAUUUCUUUUAUUCUCAUGAUAAUAAUGUUCAUUGUGGAAAAUAAAAAAAAAUGAUAAAAUAAAAAUCAGC